GAGAAACUGGGGAUGCUUCCCUCUGACUCAUUCUGGAAAUUUGCUCUAAGAGGCAUACUAAAUUCCAUGUACAUGUUGGAAGGAAGUGAGCUCUCUCAACAGAGGAGACACCGUUUCAAGGAAUCGGUUACCAAAGAGUCUUCCAAGGCGCUCUGCACUUGCCAUCAACAAUGAAACGUCAAAGGGAGUGGCUCCACCCACUGCAGGAGAGUUGCAAUACAUGAAGUGGCCAUUUCAUGGAAGU